AAGCCAAUGAGGAUUGUAUAUCUUAUAGUUGGAAUUACCGGCUGAAUUCAUUUUGAUGUUAAACAGACUGGCUAUCUGAGGCUUCAC